UAGCUACAGGCUUAACACAUGCAAGUCGAGGGGAAACGACAUCGAAAGCUUGCUUUUGAUGGGCGUCGACCGGCGCACGGGUGAGUAACGCGUAUCCAACCUGCCCACCACUUGGGGAUAACCUUGCGAAAGUAAGACUAAUACCCAAUGACGUCUCUAGAAGACAUCUGAAAGAGAUUAAAGAUUUAUCGGUGAUGGAUGGGGAUGCGUCUGAUUAGCUUGUUGGCGGGGUAACGGCCCACCAAGGCGACGAUCAGUAGGGGUUCUGAGAGGAAGGUCCCCCACAUUGGAACUGAGACACGGUCCAAACUCCUACGGGAGGCAGCAGUGAGGAAUAUUGGUCAAUGGACGAGAGUCUGAACCAGCCAAGUAGCGUGCAGGAUGACGGCCCUAUGGGUUGUAAACUGCUUUUAUAAGGGAAUAAAGUGAGUCUCGUGAGACUUUUUGCAUGUACCUUAUGAAUAAGGACCGGCUAAUUCCGUGCCAGCAGCCGCGGUAAUACGGAAGGUCCCGGGCGUUAUCCGGAUUUAUUGGGUUUAAAGGGAGGCGUAGGCCCGGAGAUUAAGCGUGUUGUGAAAUGUACACGCUCAACGUUUUGCACUGCAGCGCGAACUGGUUUCCUUGAGUACGCACAAAGUGGGCGGAAUUCGUGGUGUAGCGGUGAAAUGCUUAGAUAUCACGAAGAACUCCGAUUGCGAAGGCAGCUCACUGGAGCGCAACUGACGCUGAAGCUCGAAAAGUGCGGGUAUCGAACAGGAUUAGAUACCCUGGUAGUCCGCACGGUAAACGAUGGAUGCCCGCUGUUGGUCUGAAUAGGUCAGCGGCCAAGCGAAAGCAUUAAGCAUCCCACCUGGGGAGUACGCCGGCAACGGUGAAACUCAAAGGAAUUGACGGGGGCCCGCACAAGCGGAGGAACAUGUGGUUUAAUUCGAUGAUACGCGAGGAACCUUACCCGGGCUUGAAUUGCAGAGGAAGGAUUUGGAGACAAUGACGCCCUUCGGGGCCUCUGUGAAGGUGCUGCAUGGUUGUCGUCAGCUCGUGCCGUGAGGUGUCGGCUUAAGUGCCAUAACGAGCGCAACCCCUCUCCUUAGUUGCCAUCAGGUCAAGCUGGGCACUCUGGGGACACUGCCACCGUAAGGUGUGAGGAAGGUGGG
rnacentral:rRNA from 1 species